rnacentral:tRNA from 1 species
GGGCUCGUGGUUUAGUGGUAUAAUACUCCCUUAGCAAGGGAGUGGUCCGGGGUUCGAUUCCCCGCGAGUCCA